rnacentral:rRNA from 1 species
GAGAGUGGGUAGUCCGCACGAGCGCACCUCACUUUUAGUUGCCAUCAUUAAGUUGGGCACUCUGAAAGAACUGCCAGUGAUAAGCUGGAGGAAGGUGGGGAUGACGUCAAGUCCUCAUGGCCCUUACGUGUUGGGCUACACACGUGCUACAAUGGCAUCUACAACAGGAAGCAAAACGGCAACGUUAAGCAAAUCCCGAAAAGAUGCCUCAGUUCGGAUUGCACUCUGCAACUCGAGUGCAUGAAGCUGGAAUUACUAGUAAUUGUGGAUCAGCGUGCCACGGUGAAUGCGUUCCCGGGUCUUGUACACACCGCCCGUCACACCAUGGGAGUUGGUUCUACCUUAAGGCAAGGUUUUAAACCCUUGACCACGGUAUAGUCAGCGACUGGGGUGAAGUCGUAACAAGGUAGCCGUAGGGGAACCUGCGGCUGGAUUACCUCCUUUCU